AUUGAACGCUGGCGGCAUGCUUUACACAUGCCAGUCGAACGGCAGCGCGGGCUUCGGCCUGGCGGCGAGUGGCGAACGGGUGAGUAAUGCAUCGGAACGUGACCAGUAGUGGGGGAUAGGCCGGCGAAAGCCGGAUUAAUACCGCAUACGACCUGAGGGUGAAAGCGGGGGACCGAAAGGCCUCGCGCGAUUGGAGCGGCCGAUGUCGGAUUAGCUAGCUGGUGGGGUAAAGGCUUAACAAGGCGACGAUCCGUAGCUGGUCUGAGAGGACGACCAGCCACACUGGGACUGAGACACGGCCCAGACUCCUACGGGAGGCAGCAGUGGGGAAUUUUGGACAAUGGGGGCAACCCUGAUCCAGCCAUGCCGCGUGCGAGAAGAAGGCCUUCGGGUUGUAAAACGCUUUUGUUCGGGAAGAAAUACUCUGGGCUAAUACCCCGGGGGGAUGACGGUACCGGAAGAAUAAGCACCGGCUAACUACGUG
rnacentral:rRNA from 1 species